CAGGGGCCGGGCCAGGGCCGCGCGGGGGGCGAGCGCGGCUGCGGACCGGGCGGGACCGCAGCCGGAGCCUAGCCGGGACUGUCGCGCGGGCCGCGCCGGCGAUGCCGCGCCCCCGGGCCGGGCUGUAGCGGGGCCGCGGCUGGAGUGCGCGCCGGGCAGGCGGGACAUGGAGGUGGUGGACGAAACGGAGGCGCUGCAGCGCUUCUUCGAAGGCCACGACAUCAACGGUGCCCUGGAGCCCUCCAACAUAGACACCAGCAUCCUGGAGGAGUACAUCAGCAAGGAGGAUGCCUCCGACCUCUGCUUCCCUGACAUCUCUGCUCCAGCCAGCUCGGCCUCCUACUCUCACGGGCAGCCUGCGAUGCCCGGCUCCAGCGGGGUUCACCACCUGAGCCCCCCUGGGGGUGGACCCUCCCCGGGACGCCAUGGUCCCCUCCCACCCCCGAGCUACGGCCCCCCGCUGAACUGCAACAACAACAACGGCAUGGGCGCUGCCCCCAAGCCCUUCCCGGGGGGCGCCGGGCCCCCCAUCAAGGCCGAGCCCAAGGCUCCCUAUGCCCCAGGCACACUGCCGGACUCUCCCCCAGACUCGGGCUCCGAGGCCUACUCCCCCCAGCAGGUGAAUGAACCCCAUCUCCUGCGCACGAUAACCCCUGAGACGUUGUGCCACGUGGGAGUGCCCUCCCGCCUGGAGCAUCCGCCCCCACCUCCAGCCCACUUGCCAGGCCCCCCGCCACCCCCACCACCUCCACCUCACUACCCUGUCCUGCAGCGGGACCUGUACAUGAAGGCCGAGCCCCCGGUCCCCCCCUACGCUGCCAUGGGGCAGGGGCUGGUGCCCACUGAUCUCCACCACACCCAGCAGUCCCAGAUGCUGCACCAGCUCCUGCAGCAGCACGGAGCUGAGCUCCCCACACACCCCUCCAAGAAGAGGAAGCACUCCGAAUCCCCCCCCAGCACCCUCAAUGCCCAGAUGCUGAAUGGAAUGAUCAAACAGGAGCCCGGGACGGUGACAGCCCUGCCUCUGCACCCCACUCGAGCCCCAUCCCCACCCUGGCCUCCCCAGGGUCCGCUCUCCCCGGGCCCUGGUUCUUUGCCUCUCAGCAUUGCCCGUGUCCAGACACCGCCUUGGCACCCACCAGGUGCCUCCUCCCCAGGCCUCCUGCAGGACAGUGACAGCCUCAGUGGCUCCUACCUGGACCCCAACUACCAGUCCAUCAAGUGGCAGCCCCAUCAGCAGAACAAGUGGGCGACCCUGUACGACGCUAACUACAAGGAGCUGCCCAUGCUCACCUACCGUGUGGACGCGGACAAGGGCUUCAACUUUUCGGUGGGCGAUGAUGCCUUUGUGUGCCAGAAGAAGAACCACUUCCAGGUGACGGUGUACAUCGGCAUGCUGGGCGAGCCCAAGUUUGUCAAGACGCCUGAGGGCCUCAAGCCCCUCGACUGCUUCUAUCUGAAGCUGCAUGGAGUGAAGCUGGAGGCCCUGAACCAGUCCAUUAACAUCGAGCAGUCCCAGUCAGACCGGAGCAAGCGGCCCUUCAACCCGGUCACGGUCAAUCUGCCCCCUGAGCAGGUCACGAAGGUGACUGUGGGGCGGCUGCACUUCAGCGAGACCACCGCUAACAACAUGCGUAAGAAGGGCAAGCCCAACCCUGACCAGAGGUACUUCAUGCUGGUGGUGGCCCUCCAGGCCCACGCACAGAACCAGAACUACACGCUGGCUGCCCAGAUCUCAGAGCGCAUCAUCGUGCGGGCCUCCAACCCAGGCCAGUUCGAGAGCGACAGCGAUGUGUUGUGGCAGCGAGCACAGGUGCCCGACACCGUCUUCCACCACGGCCGCGUGGGCAUCAACACAGACCGGCCGGACGAGGCGCUGGUUGUGCACGGGAAUGUCAAGGUCAUGGGCUCGCUUAUGCACCCCUCCGACCUGCGCGCCAAGGAACACGUGCAGGAGGUGGACACCACCGAGCAAUUGAAGAGGAUCUCGCGCAUGCGGCUGGUGCACUACAGAUACAAGCCCGAGUUCGCCGCCAGCGCAGGCAUCGAGGCCACUGCGCCAGAGACAGGUGUCAUCGCUCAGGAGGUGAAGGAGAUCUUGCCUGAGGCUGUGAAAGACACUGGAGACAUGGUCUUUGCCAAUGGGAAAACCAUAGAGAACUUCCUGGUGGUGAACAAGGAGCGCAUCUUCAUGGAGAACGUGGGGGCUGUGAAGGAGUUGUGCAAGCUGACGGACAACCUGGAGACGCGCAUUGAUGAGCUGGAGCGCUGGAGCCACAAGCUGGCCAAGCUGCGGCGGCUCGACAGCCUCAAAUCCACCGGCAGCUCGGGCGCCUUCAGUCAUGCAGGGAGCCAGUUCAGCCGGGCAGGCAGUGUCCCCCACAAGAAGAGGCCCCCCAAGGUGGCCAGCAAGUCAUCGUCCGUGGCUCCGGACCAGGCCUGCAUCAGCCAGCGCUUCCUGCAGGGAACCAUCAUUGCCCUGGUGGUGGUCAUGGCCUUCAGCGUGGUGUCCAUGUCCACACUGUACGUGCUGAGCCUGCGCACAGAGGAGGACCUGGUAGACACUGACGGCUCUUUUGCCGUGUCCACUUCCUGUCUCCUGGCCCUGCUCCGGCCCCAGCCCCCUGGGGGGAGUGAGGCCUUGUGCCCAUGCAGGUCCAGCCAGAGCUUUGGGACCACGCAGCUCCGACAGUCCCCCAUAACCACUGGGCUACCAGGCAUACAGCCCACUUUGCUGCUGGUGACCACCAGCCUCACCAGCUCGGCCCCAGGUUCUGCUGUCCGCACCCUGGACCUAUGUUCCAGCCACCCCUGCCCUGUCGUCUGCUGUUCCUCACCCACCACCAACCCUACCACUGGUCCUAGUCUUGGCCCCAGCUUUAACCCUGGCCAUGUUCUCAGCCCAAGUCCCAGCCCCAGCACCAACCGUUCAGGCCCCAGCCAGAUGGCCCUUCUGCCAGUCACCAACAUCAGAGCCAAGUCCUGGGGUCUUUCAGUCAAUGGCAUUGGCCACUCCAAGCAUCACAAGAGCCUGGAGCCUCUGGCCAGCCCUGCAGUCCCCUUCCCUGGGGGGCAGGGCAAAGCCAAGAACAGCCCCAGCCUUGGUUUCCACGGCCGGGCCCGCCGAGGGGCCCCCGAGUCCAGCAUGGGCCCUGCUCAGCCCACCUGGGCCCAGGGCCAGUCAGUCCUCACAGCACUCCUGCAAGAAAGGAAUUGUUGUUCCUAUUGUUCAGCUGAAGAAAUGGGAUGGAGACUAAGCCUCUUUCCUUGCAGAGCCAGUGCCCUCCCUGACCUCCAUCCAGGUGCUGGAGAAUUCGAUGCCUAUCACCUCCCAGUACUGUGCUCCAGGGGAUGCCUGCAGGCCUGGGAACUUCACCUACCACAUCCCUGUGAGCAGCGGCACCCCACUGCACCUCAGCCUGACUCUGCAGAUGAAUUCCUCCUCCCCCGUGUCUGUAAUGCUGUGCAGCCUAAGGUCAAAGGAGGAGCCGUGUGAGGAAGGGAGCCUUCCACAGAGUCUCCACACCCACCAGGACACCCAGGGCACCUCUCACCAGUGGCCAAUAACCAUCCUGUCCUUCCGCGAAUUCACCUACCACUUCCGGGUGGCACUGCUGGGUCAGGCCAACUGCAGUUCAGAGGCUCUCGUCCAGCCAGCCACAGACUACUACUUCCACUUCUACCGCCUGUGUAACUGAGCUGCCCUCCUGAGGCAGCACCGCACCAGGGACUGGGGUGCCCAGGCACCCCCCAAUACUGGAUGCAAUGGUGUUACACUGGAGCCUGCUGUAGGCCAGCUCUGCUGUUCACUGGCCCUACCCAAGACUGGUGAAACUGGAAGUCUUCACACUGGAGUUACUGUUCCAGCUGGUCGCCCCUCACAGCACAGAGGGAACCUGAGAGCCGGAGACUUCCUGGGCCUUCCUGCCUGCCACCCCCUAGGGGCCAGGACAGGACCAGUUUACCUCUUUCCAGAUAUGGUGGUUGGAGGGCUGGUUCAGGUACCCUGGAGGGAAGGGGAAGCCUGUGGCCCUGAUUUGUUCAGAGCCCACUCUCCCCUGCCUCCCCUUUUAAGACUGGAGCCAACCCUCUUGGAGAGAGGACCUGCCCACCUUUGAGAUCAGCAGGGGACUUGGAUCCAGCCCUAAGAGACUUGGGUGGACUCCCAUGAGUCAAUGGAGGGCAGAUGGCUCUCCCCCUUAAAGCUGUUCCCUGGGGGAUGGCUUGGUAGUAGACUUUCUGGGGUUUGCCUGUUACGCCAGACUCGGAUUUCUAAGCUUUAAGUGUGGCCCAGGAGGUUUCUUCUCCCUGGGAGAGCUUGGCUCCCAAGAAGUCCCAGGGCAGCCAAGGCCAGCCCUGGAUGGGUUGGAGAAACUGACUUUGUGCCUUAAGUCUACUCAGUGCCUGAUGAAGCCACCCUCAGCCCUUCACAGGCCUGAACCAGUAGAGGCCAGUGGGCCAGGUAAGCCCUAGAGCCUUGAACCAGGAAUAUCCGGGAAGAGGAAAUUCCCUUUUGAGCGCCCAGAUGGUGUUGCAGCUUCAUUGCCUGCAUUCCUGGGAGUGUCCAGAGCUCACAGUGAUCAGUGACCACAUCAUUCUCUCUGAGCAGAGGAGCAGGAAUCCCUCAAGCAGCAGCCUGGUCUUGGCUGGUGGGCAGAUGCAAAUAGCUUUUGCUGUUAUUAAUGAAGUAAUUACUAAAUGCACUUAAACCAGGGCAGGAAGGAGUGGAAGGAUGGAGCUAGAAAGCUCCGAGUGGGCCAGAGCAGGGGUGUGACACCUGCAAAGACAGGGCUCUGACUCUGAUCCCUCCCAGGGAGCCUCAGACACCCAUCCCACUCCCAACCACCAAGACCCUGGGUUAGGGAAGAAGUUGUAUCUUAAGUGCCAACUUCAAGUUUCUUAGUGGUGCCUGGUACAUUCUGAGGCUACAUCCAGGCUCAUGGAAGGAGUGUGGUAUUCAUUUAGCCAUGUCUGCCAUGGGUCCAGAAAUGGGAAAGGGAAUUGCUGUCCUUGCCCUGUGGUAUGCUGCCACCUCUUUGGGAAGCAGGCCUUGCCCCUGUCCCACCACUCAUUCUCAGCUUUGAAUGGGAGGCCUUUCUAUAGUGGAGCCGAGUCCUUGAAGCCUAUGAACUGCAGGCCCCCUUUUGCCACUGAUCUCAAAGCACUUGUCCUCAGGAUAGGGAACAGCAGGGGGAUGCAGGAAUAGCAGGGAUAGCCUCCUCCCAGCCCCCUCCCCAAUUUGGUUCCACGGACAUAGGAAUUUUAUGAUUCCCAUACCAUGCAGGGGCUGAGCCUUCUUUAGGAUGACUUUGUUCUCCCUCCCACUGGGGGAAUCCUCCCUCUGCCUUACAACUGCCGAGCCCCACUCCAUGUAAUAGGAUUCCUGGGCUUCCUCAAUGGGACUGCGGCCCCUCAGUCCUUAACUGGAAAGUGACCGUCCACUGCCCCCUGGAGCCCAUCUGGACACAGCACAGUCCCAAACCCGUUAGCAGCUGGCUCUGUUUCCAUGCCUGGGGAGGGGUUCCUCAGUGCAGGAGUUGGGGCCAGGCUGGGGCUCCGAGCUGCUUGAGGGGGUCAACCUUGGACCAAAGUUGCCUUAAGCCUGUGGUAAAAGGGCUUCAGGGAAGGUCAGUGGGCCACCUGCUAGAAGCUGCCAGCUGCCCGGCUGGCAAUGGUGUGUCUUGGCCCCAUCCCUGCCCUGGGGUCCAGCAGGUCAUCCCUCCCUUCUCCUCUCUCCUUUGGUGUUUGUUCCUGUAGCCACUGGGCUAAUCUCCCCCUAGCUUCAAGCUGUAUAUAGGGCCUCCCAGUGCAAAUCCUCCUGCCCAUUUUGUGCCCCCUUAGAAGCCUGCGUGUGCAUAGAGCGCCCCCUACCUCCCAGUUAACUCCCAGUUCUCCCUGAGCUUGGUAUUUAUCGUGUGCCAACUCUGACUCUGAGGUGGGCAGUGAGGGAAGCAGCCCCGGGCCUGCUUGCUUCCUGUCCCCGAAAUGUUCUUUUCUUCUGAAGUAAAUAUACAUAUAUAAAUAAAUGUAUAAAUACUGCUUUGUAUCUGA